rnacentral:rRNA from 1 species
AUUGAACGCUGGCGGCAGGCUUAACACAUGCAAGUCGAGCGGGUGAGGUUGCUUCGGUAACUGAGCUAGCGGCGGACGGGCGAGUAAUGCUUAGGAAUCUGCCUAUUAGUGGGGGACAACAUUCCGAAAGGAAUGCUAAUACAGCAUACGCCCUACGGGGGAAAGCAGGGGAUCUUCGGACCGUGCGCUAAUAGAUGAGCCUAAGUCAGCUUAGCUAGUUGGUGGGGUAAAGGCCUACCAAGGCGACGAUCUGUAGCGGGGCAGAGAGGCUGAUCCGCCACACUGCGACUGAGACACGGCCCAGACUCCUCCGGGAGGUAGCAGUGGGGAAUAUUGGACAAUGGGCGCAAGCCUGAUCCAGCCAUGCCGCGUGUGUGAAGAAGGCCUUUUGGUUGUAAAGCACUUUAAGCGAGGAUGGGGCUACUUGGAUUAAUACUCUAGGAUAGUGGACGUUACUCGCAGAAUAAGCACCGGCUAACUCUGUGCCAGCCGCCGCCGUAA